rnacentral:rRNA from 1 species
UACGUAGGGGGCAAGCGUUGUCCGGAAUCAUUGGGCGUAAAGAGCGUGUAGGCGGCUCGGUAAGUCCGCUCUGAAAGCCCGGGCUCAACCCCGGGAGGCGGGCGGAUACUGUCGGGCUAGAGUCCGGAAGAGGCGAGUGGAAUUCCUGGUGUAGCGGUGAAAUGCGCAGAUAUCAGGAGGAACACCAAUGGCGAAGGCAGCUCGCUGGACGGUACUGACGCUGAGACGCGAAGCGUGGGAGCAACAGG